rnacentral:tRNA from 1 species
GGAGAGUGGGCGGGACGGUAACGCGCGAGUUUUGAAAACUCGUGGGAGCAAUCCCUAACAGGUUCGACCCCUGUACUCUCCG